rnacentral:rRNA from 1 species
CAGUAGCCGCGGUAAUACGUAGGGUGCAAGCGUUAAUCGGAAUUACUGGGCGUAAAGCGUGCGCAGGCGGUUUUGUAAGACAGAUGUGAAAUCCCCGGGCUCAACCUGGGAACUGCCUUUGUGACUGCAAGGCUAGAGUACGGCAGAGGGGGAUGGAAUUCCGCGUGUAGCAGUGAAAUGCGUAGAUAUGCGGAGGAACACCGAUGGCGAAGGCAAUCCCCUGGGCCUGUACUGACGCUCAUGCACGAAAGCGUGGGGAGCAAACAGGAUUAGAGACCCGGGUAGUCCCUGUCUCUUAUAC